rnacentral:rRNA from 1 species
CAGUAGCCGCGGUAAUACAGAGGGUGCGAGCGUUAAUCGGAUUUACUGGGCGUAAAGCGUGCGUAGGCAGCUUCUUAAGUCGGAUGUGAAAUCCCUGAGCUUAACUUAGGAAUUGCAUUCGAUACUGGGAAGCUAGAGUAUGGGAGAGGAUGGUAGAAUUCCAGGUGUAGCGGUGAAAUGCGUAGAGAUCUGGAGGAAUACCGAUGGCGAAGGCAGCCAUCUGGCCUAAUACUGACGCUGAGGUACGAAAGCAUGGGGAGCAAACAGGAUUAGAGACCCCAGUAGUCCCUGUCUCUUAUAC